rnacentral:rRNA from 1 species
UACGUAGGUGGCUAGCGUUGUCCGGAUUUACUGGGCGUAAAGAGCGCGCAGGCGGUCGUUCAAGUCGAGUGUGAAAGCCCCCGGCUCAACUGGGGAGGGUCACUCGAUACUGAUCGACUUGAAGGCGGGAGAGGGAAGCGGAAUUCCAGGUGUAGCGGUGAAAUGCGUAGAUAUCUGGAGGAACACCGGUGGCGAAGGCGGCAUCCUGGACCGGCAUUGACGCUGAGGCGCGAAAGCCAGGGGAGCAAACGGG